UACGAAGGGGGCUAGCGUUGCUCGGAAUCACUGGGCGUAAAGGUUGCGUAGGCGGGUCUUUAAGUCAGGGGUGAAAUCCUGGAGCUCAACUCCAGAACUGCCUUUGAUACUGAGGAUCUUGAGUUCGGGAGAGGUGAGUGGAACUGCGAGUGUAGAGGUGAAAUUCGUAGAUAUUCGCAAGAACACCAGUGGCGAAGGCGGCUCACUGGCUCAUUACUGACGCUCAGGCGCGACAGCGUGGGGAUCAAACAGG
rnacentral:rRNA from 1 species